UACGAAGGGGGCUAGCGUUGCUCGGAAUGACUGGGCGUAAAGGGCGCGUAGGCGGAACGCUUUGUCGGAUGUGAAAUUCCAGGGCUUAACCUUGGGGCUGCAUUCGAGACGGGUGUUCUAGAGUUUGGAAGAGGGUCGUGGAAUUCCCAGUGUAGAGGUGAAAUUCGUAGAUAUCGGGAGGAACACCAGUGGCGAAGGCGGCGACCUGGACGGACAUUGACGCUGAAACGCGAAAGCGUGGGGAGCAAACAGG
rnacentral:rRNA from 1 species